rnacentral:rRNA from 1 species
AUUGAACGCUGGCGGCAUGCUUUACACAUGCAAGUCGGACGGCAGCACAGAGAAGCUUGCUUCUUGGGUGGCGAGUGGCGAACGGGUGAGUAAUAUAUCGGAACGUACCGAGUAAUGGGGGAUAACUAAUCGAAAGAUUAGCUAAUACCGCAUAUUCUCUGAGGAGGAAAGCAGGGGACCUUCGGGCCUUGCGUUAUUCGAGCGGCCGAUAUCUGAUUAGCUAGUUGGUGGGGUAAAGGCCUACCAAGGCGACGAUCAGUAGCGGGUCUGAGAGGAUGAUCCGCCACACUGGGACUGAGACACGGCCCAGACUCCUACGGGAGGCAGCAGUGGGGAAUUUUGGACAAUGGGCGCAAGCCUGAUCCAGCCAUGCCGCGUGUCUGAAGAAGGCCUUCGGGUUGUAAAGGACUUUUGUCAGGGAAGAAAAGGCUGUUGCUAAUAUCGACAGCUGAUGACGGUACCUGAAGAAUAAGCACCGGCUAACUACGUGCCAGCAGCCGCGGUAAUACGUAGGGUGCGAGCGUUAAUCGGAAUUACUGGGCGUAAAGCGAGCGCAGACGGUUACUUAAGCAGGAUGUGAAAUCCCCGGGCUCAACCUGGGAACUGCGUUCUGAACUGGGUGACUAGAGUGUGUCAGAGGGAGGUAGAAUUCCACGUGUAGCAGUGAAAUGCGUAGAGAUGUGGAGGUAUACCGAUGGCGAAGGCAGCCUCCUGGGAUAACACUGACGUUCAUGCUCGAAGCGUGGGUAGCAAACAGG